GGACCCGCACAAGUAGUGGAGCAUGUGGUUUAAUUCGAAGAUACGCGCAGAACCUUACCAACACUUGACAUGUUCGUCGCGACUUUAAGAGAUUAAAGUUUUCGGUUCGGCCGGACGAAACACAGGUGCUGCAUGGCUGUCGUCAGCUCGUGUCGUGAGAUGUUGGGUUAAGUCCCGCAACGAGCGCAACCCUCACUUUUAGUUGCCAGCAGGUUAAGCUGGGCACUCUAAUAGGACUGCCUGUGAUAAGCAGGAGGAAGGUGGGGAUGACGUCAAGUCCUCAUGGCCCUUACGUGUUGGGCUACACACGUGCUACAAUGGUAAUUACAGUGAGAUGCGAGACGGUAACGUU
rnacentral:rRNA from 1 species